ACCCAAUGAAUCAAUUGCGAUAGA
rnacentral:snRNA from 1 species